GCAAGCGUAGCUCAGCUGGUAGAGCACCCGACUGAUACUCGGGCGGUCCCAGGUUCGACCCCUGGCGCUUGCACCA
rnacentral:tRNA from 2 species